rnacentral:rRNA from 1 species
AGAGCGAACGCUGGCGGCAGGCUUAACACAUGCAAGUCGAGCGCCCCGCAAGGGGAGCGGCAGACGGGUGAGUAACGCGUGGGAACGUACCUUUUGGUUCGGAACAACACAGGGAAACUUGUGCUAAUACCGGAUAAGCCCUUACGGGGAAAGAUUUAUCGCCGAAAGAUCGGCCCGCGUCUGAUUAGCUAGUUGGUGAGGUAACGGCUCACCAAGGCGACGAUCAGUAGCUGGUCUGAGAGGAUGAUCAGCCACAUUGGGACUGAGACACGGCCCAAACUCCUACGGGAGGCAGCAGUGGGGAAUAUUGGACAAUGGGCGCAAGCCUGAUCCAGCCAUGCCGCGUGAGUGAUGAAGGCCCUAGGGUUGUAAAGCUCUUUUAACGGGGAAGAUAAUGACGGUACCCGUAGAAUAAGCCCGGCUAACUUCGUGCCAGCAGCCGC